GCAGUGGGGAAUAUUGGACAAUGGGGGCAACCCUGAUCCAGCCAUGCCGCGUGUGUGAAGAAGGCCUUCGGGUUGUAAAGCACUUUCAGCAGUGAGGAAAGGCGAGUGGUUAAUACCCGCUUGCUGUGACGUUAACUGCAGAAGAAGCACCGGCUAACUCCGUGCCAGCAGCCGCGGUAAUACGGAGGGUGCAAGCGUUAAUCGGAAUUACUGGGCGUAAAGCGCGCGUAGGUGGUUCAGUCAGUCAGAUGUGAAAGCCCCGGGCUCAACCUGGGAAUUGCACCUGAUACUGCUGAGCUAGAGUACGGUAGAGGGUAGUGGAAUUUCCGGUGUAGCGGUGAAAUGCGUAGAGAUGGAAGGAACACCAGUGGCGAAGGCGACUACCUGGACCGAUACUGACACUGAGGUGCGAAAGCGUGGGUAGCAAACAGGAUUAGAUACCCUGGUAGUCCACGCCGUAAACGAUGUCAANCUAGCCGUUGGGGGAC
rnacentral:rRNA from 1 species